rnacentral:rRNA from 1 species
GACGAACGCUGGCGGCGUGCUUAACACAUGCAAGUCGAACGGAAAGGCCCUGCUUUUGUGGGGUGCUCGAGUGGCGAACGGGUGAGUAACACGUGAGUAACCUGCCCUUGACUUUGGGAUAACUUCAGGAAACUGGGGCUAAUACCGGAUAGGAGCUCCUGCUGCAUGGUGGGGGUUGGAAAGUUUCGGCGGUUGGGGAUGGACUCGCGGCUUAUCAGCUUGUUGGUGGGGUAGUGGCUUACCAAGGCUUUGACGGGUAGCCGGCCUGAGAGGGUGACCGGCCACAUUGGGACUGAGAUACGGCCCAGACUGCUACGGGAGGCAGCAGUGGGGAAUAUUGCACAAUGGGCGGAAGCCUGAUGCAGCAACGCCGCGUGCGGGAUGACGGCCUUCGGGGUGUAAACCGCUUUCGCCUGUGACGAAGCGUGAGUGACGGUAAUGUGUAAAGAAGCACCGGCUAACUACGUG